rnacentral:rRNA from 1 species
GUGCCAGCAGCCGCGGUAAUACGUAGGGUGCGAGCGUUGUCCGGAAUUAUUGGGCGUAAAGAGCUCGUAGGCGGUUUGUCGCGUCGACUGUGAAAACCUACAGCUUAACUGUGGGCUUGCGGUCGAUACGGGCAGACUUGAGUUCGGCAGGGGAGACUGGAAUUCCUGGUGUAGCGGUGAAAUGCGCAGAUAUCAGGAGGAACACCGGUGGCGAAGGCGGGUCUCUGGGCCGAUACUGACGCUGAGGAGCGAAAGCGUGGGGAGCGAACAGGAUUAGAUACCCUGGUAGUCC